GGGGUCGUCUUGCCAAUUUCGAGGAAAGGAUUGUUCUGGUAGUCUUGGUCAAAAAGGCAGGAAUCAAAAGAAGUAAAUAAUUGCCUCGUCCAAGAAACGCCAUCCACCACAAAUUGUCUCUACUUCUAGAUCUGAAGCACAUCGAAUCCUCUACCAGAGCGAGAGCUUCAGCUUGAAUCGGCGGAGGAAGCAAGGGAUCUUCUUUCUCGUGAAUCCAUCGAGCGGUACGCCUGAGGCCGUCGCGAAGAGCACCUGCAAUCGCUCCUUCCGAACCACCGGCUUCAAAGAACCCCAUCGAUAGUUUUCUUGAGGGACGGGGUUUUCGGCGGGCAUCGAUUAACAGGUAAAAUCGACUCGAAUCGCGUCGAGUUUCUAACUUUUUAGUGUUCCGCUCGCUAUAAUUUCUGAUCGUGGACUCCGCUGAGGCGAUUAGGUUUCCUGGGUUUGGUG
rnacentral:lncRNA from 1 species